rfam:Camelus ferus unplaced genomic scaffold scaffold715, whole genome shotgun sequence.
GAGGGUAUAGCUCAGCAGUAGAGUGAGUGCUUAGGAUGCACAAGGUCCUGGGCUCAAUCCCCAGUACUUCCA